rnacentral:rRNA from 1 species
GGGCCCGCACAAGCGGUGGAGCAUGUGGUUUAAUUCGAUGAUACGCGAGGAACCUUACCAGGGCUUAAAUGUAAGUUGCAUAGAUCAGAGAUGGUCUUUUCUUCGGACUACUUACAAGGUGCUGCAUGGUUGUCGUCAGCUCGUGCCGUGAGGUGUCAGGUUAAGUCCUAUAACGAGCGCAACCCCUAUCGUUAGUUGCCAGCGGGUAAUGCCGGGAACUCUAGCGAAACUGCCGGUGCAAACCGAGAGGAAGGUGGGGAUGACGUCAAAUCAUCACGGCCCUUACGUCCUGGGCUACACACGUGCUACAAUGGUUGGUACAGAGGGCAGCUACCGGGUGACCGGAUGCGAAUCUCUAAAGCCAAUCUCAGUUCGGAUUGGAGUCUGCAACUCGACUCUAUGAAGCUGGAAUC